rnacentral:rRNA from 1 species
CGGUAGAGAGAAGCUUGCUUCUCUUGAGAGCGGCGGCACGGGUUGAGUAAUGCCUAGGAAUCUGCCUGGUAGUGGGGGAUAACGUUCGGAAACGAACGCUAAUACCGCAUACGUCCUACGGGANAAANCAGGGGACCUUCGGGCCUUGCNCUAUCANAUGAGCCUAGGUCGGAUUAGCUAGUUGGUGAGGUAAUGGCUCACCAAGGCGACGAUCCGUAACUGGUCUGAGAGGAUGAUCAGUCACACUGGAACUGANACACGGNCCAGACUCCUACGGGAGGCANCAGUGGGGAAUAUUGGACAAUGGGCGAAAGCCUGAUCCAGCCAUGCCGCGUGUGUGAAGAAGGUCUUCGGAUUGUAAAGCACUUUAAGUUGNGAGGAAGGGCAGUUACCUAAUANGUAAUUGUUUUGACGUUACCGACAGAAUAANCACCGGCUAACUCUGUGCCAGCAGCCGCGGUAAUACAGAGGGUGCAAGCGUUAAUCGGAAUUACUGGGCGUAAAGCGCGCGUAGGUGGUUUGUUAAGUUGAAUGUGAAAUCCCCGGGCUCAACCUGGGAACUGCAUCCAAAACUGGCAAGCUAGAGUAUGGUAGAGGGUGGUGGAAUUUCCUGUGUAGCGGUGAAAUGCGUAGAUAUAGGAAGGAACACCAGUGGCGAAGGCGACCACCUGGACUGAUACUGACACUGAGGUGC